rnacentral:rRNA from 1 species
AUGGUAUCCGGCGCGAAUUCGCCCUUUCCUCCUUCCGGGAAGGCAGCAGUGGGGAAUUUUUCCCGCAAUGGGGCGAAAGCCUGACGGAGCAAUACCGCGUGAGGGAUGACGGCCUAUGGGUUGUAAACCUCUUUUUUCAGGGAGGAAUAAAUGACGUGUACCUGAAGAAUAAGCAUCGGCUAACUCCGUGCCAGCAGCCGCGGUAAGACGGAGGAUGCAAGUGUCAUCCGGAAUCACUGGGCGUAAAGCGUCUGUAGGUGGUUUAAUAAGUCAACUGUUAAAUCUUGAGGCUCAACCUCGAAACCGCAGUCGAAACUAUUAGACUAGAGUAUAGUAGGGGUAAAGGGAAUUUCCAGUGGAGCGGUGAAAUGCGUAGAGAUUGGAAAGAACACCGAUGGCGAAGGCACUUUACUGGGCUAUUACUAACACUGAGAGACGAAAGCUAGGGUAGCAAAUGGGAUUAGAUACCCCAGUAGUCCUAGCUGUAAACUAUGGAUACUAGAUGUUGAACAGAUCGACCUGUGCAGUAUCAAAGCUAACGCGUUAAGUAUCCCGCCUGGGAAGUAUGCUCGCAAGAGUG